rnacentral:rRNA from 1 species
GACGAACGCUGGCGGCGUGCUUAACACAUGCAAGUCGAACGAAGAGCGAUGGAAGCUUGCUUCUAUCAAUCUUAGUGGCGAACGGGUGAGUAACGCGUAAUCAACCUGCCCUUCAGAGGGGGACAACAGUUGGAAACGACUGCUAAUACCGCAUACGAUCUGACCUCGGCAUCGAGGAUAGAUGAAAGGUGGCCUCUAUUUAUAAGCUAUCACUGAAGGAGGGGAUUGCGUCUGAUUAGCUAGUUGGAGGGGUAACGGCCCAUCAAGGCGAUGAUCAGUAGCCGGUCUGAGAGGAUGAACGGCCACAUUGGGACUGAGACACGGCCCAGACUCCUACGGGAGGCAGCAGUGGGGAAUCUUCCGCAAUGGACGAAAGUCUGACGGAGCAACGCCGCGUGAGUGAUGACGGCCUUCGGGUUGUAAAGCUCUGUUAAUCGGGACGAAAGGCCUUCUUGCGAAUAGUUAGAAGGAUUGACGGUACCGGAAUAGAAAGCCACGGCUAACUACGUG